GACGAACGCUGGCGGCGUGCUUAACACAUGCAAGUCGAACGGAAAGGCCCUGCUUUUGUGGGGUGCUCGAGUGGCGAACGGGUGAGCAACACGUGAGUAACCUGCCCUUGACUUUGGGAUAACUUCAGGAAACUGGGGCUAAUACCGGAUAGGAGCUCCUGCUGCUUGGUGGGGGUUGGAAAGUUUCGGCGGUUGGGGAUGGACUCGCGGCUUAUCAGCUUGUUGGUGGGGUAGUGGCUUACCAAGGCUUUGACGGGUAGCCGGCCUGAGAGGGUGACCGGCCACAUUGGGACUGAGAUACGGCCCAGACUCCUACGGGAGGCAGCAGUGGGGAAUAUUGCACAAUGGGCGGAAGCCUGAUGCAGCAACGCCGCGUGCGGGAUGACGGCCUUCGGGUUGUAAACCGCUUUCGCCUGUGACGAAGCGUGAGUGACGGUAAUGGGUAAAGAAGCACCGGCUAACUACGUG
rnacentral:rRNA from 1 species